rnacentral:lncRNA from 1 species
UUUCAUAAGAUAUUUGAAAAUUCAGUCGACUCUGUUUUUAUUCUAUUCGACUGUAAAACUUGGGGAUGACUUCAAAUUUUCAAACUUUUGGUGAAGGUGCUUCAACAAACAGACCACCUCUGUUUGCUGGUGAAAAUUACCAUUGUUAGAAAAUUCACAUGCAGAUCUUUCUUGAAUCGCAAGAUAAAGGAAUUUUGGAUGCCACUUUGAAUGGUC